rnacentral:sRNA from 1 species
AGCUACCACUGCUAAGAGCCAUCUCCACCAGAAGCCUGGCCAGACCUGGAAGAACAAAGAGCAUCAUCUCUCUGACAGAGAGUUUGUGUUCAAAGAACCUCAGCAGGUAGUACGUAGAGCUCCUGAGCCACGAGUGAUUGACAGAGAGGGUGUGUAUGAAAUCAGCCUGUCACCCACAGGUGUAUCUAGGGUCUGUUUGUAUCCUGGCUUUGUUGACGUGAAAGAAGCUGACUGGAUAUUGGAACAGCUUUGUCAAGAUGUUCCCUGGAAACAGAGGACCGGCAUCAGAGAGGGAAGAGAAUGGAGACUACACAUAUGUGGAAAGAGUGAAGAUACCCUUGGAUCAUGGGACCUUGUUAAUCAUGGAAGGAGCGACACAAGCUGACUGGCAGCAUCGAGUGCCCAAAGAAUACCACUCUAGAGAACCGAGAGUGAACCUGACCUUUCGGACAGUCUAUCCAGACCCUCGAGGGGCACCCUGGUGACGUCAGAGCUUUGAGAGAGAAGCUUCACUGAAACGGAGCAAACCUUCCACUGAGAAGCCACUUCAAGAGGCUGGUGCUGCUAGAUCUCAUGAUGUGGCUGUUGGGAAGAUGGUGGGGUUUGUUUGCCAGCUUGGAGUCCUAUUAAAUGAAAGCCAGCAACUCA